UACGUAGGUGGCGAGCGUUGUCCGGAUUUACUGGGCGUAAAGGGAGCGUAGGCGGGUCGGCAAGUCAGUGGUGAAAUACAUGGGCUUAACCCAUGAAUUGCCAUUGAAACUGCCGGUCUUGAGUGGAUCAGAGGCAAGCGGAAUUCCGAGUGUAGCGGUGAAAUGCGUAGAUAUUCGGAGGAACACCAGUGGCGAAGGCGACCACCUGGACUGAUACUGACACUGAGGUGCGAAAGCGUGGGGAGCAAACAGGAUUAGAUA
rnacentral:rRNA from 1 species